GAUGAACGCUGGCGGCGUGCUUAACACAUGCAAGUCGAACGAAGCACUUUAUUUGAUUUCCUUCGGGACUGAUUAUUUUGUGACUGAGUGGCGGACGGGUGAGUAACGCGUGGGUAACCUGCCUUGUACAGGGGGAUAACAGUUGGAAACGGCUGCUAAUACCGCAUAAGCGCACGGCAUCGCAUGAUGCAGUGUGAAAAACUCCGGUGGUAUAAGAUGGACCCGCGUUGGAUUAGCUAGUUGGUGAGGUAACGGCCCACCAAGGCGACGAUCCAUAGCCGACCUGAGAGGGUGACCGGCCACAUUGGGACUGAGACACGGCCCAAACUCCUACGGGAGGCAGCAGUGGGGAAUAUUGCACAAUGGGCGAAAGCCUGAUGCAGCGACGCCGCGUGAGCGAAGAAGUAUUUCGGUAUGUAAAGCUCUAUCAGCAGGGAAGAUAAUGACGGUACCUGACUAAGAAGCACCAGCUAAAUACGUG
rnacentral:rRNA from 1 species